ensembl:lncRNA
UUCAAGGAGGACUUUUGAUUUUAAAGACAGCAAUAUGGUUGAAAUUAGGAUAGUUGAAGGCAUGGAAAGGAAAAGCCGAUAGUGAUUGUUGCUGAAUAUUAGAAGGUAAAAGAAACAGUCAUUUCUCAGCUCUGGAACACCGGUGAAGUUUAUGACCACAGACAGAGCAAUUCUGUGGGUGCGUGGCUCACUGCUCUAAUGGACUCAGACACUCACUGUGCCUCGGAGCAUUUGGCACAGAGGCCACCAGCACGUAGCUCUGCUCAUGCCUCACUGUAACGAUGCUGGAGGCAGUUAGGUGUGAUAGCCCAACACAAGAUGCAAAAUGCAGGCUGCGACAAAGGACAAAUAUAAAGUAGAAUUCAAAGUUGUGUGCCUUUCACUUUGUUUCCG